UACGGAGGGUGCAAGCGUUAUCCGGAUUUACUGGGUUUAAAGGGUGCGUAGGUGGGUUGGGAAGUCAGUGGUGAAAUACUUUCGCUUAACGAAGGAACUGCCAUUGAUACUAUCAAUCUUGAAUGUAGUGGAGGUAGGCGGAAUGCGUCAUGUAGCGGUGAAAUGCUUAGGUAUGACGCAGAACACCAAUUGCGAAGGCAGCUUGCUACACUACUAUUGACACUGAGGCACGAAAGCGUGGGGAUCAAACAGG
rnacentral:rRNA from 1 species